AGUAAAUGUAUCCUAAUGGGCAGGCAAGCUACGCUCACUCCAACAAAUCAUUUCUAAUGAAUAGCACCUGGCACAUGCAUCACGUUUAAAUGCCAAAGAAAAUCCAUCUGCGUUAGCCAGUGAAAAGAGCCAGGCGUAUCUCGCUUUCUUUCUCUCCGAGGUAUGGAAGGGUUUUGGCCGGUGACGCUUCAGCGCGACUGUUUCCAAUCUUUUCCCAUUCCUGCAGUCCGGAGCCUGCGAGGAAGAUUUCCCAACAGCCGGGCUGCUCCCAGCGCACAAUGGAGAAGGUCCCUCCGAGUUGCAUGAAAGGUUUUAAAUAGAAACCAGCAUUUCUCUGUGCGGCGCACAAUGCUUUUCUGACCCUCGGCUGACCUCACCCUCAAAUCUGGGGUUCAUAGCCCCAGCCUUGAACCCGGCUCUGUUUUUUCAUGUUUGGCCUCUCUAUUUCCUGAGGUCAGGCAGCCCACUGCUCCAUUAGGAUGAGGCAACUCAGCGCUCAUUUGCCAAAACUGACAUCCUGGGAAAGUCCUGAUGAAUUUAUGAAUUAGAGGCUACAGAUGCCAGUAAAAGAAUUAAAGAUUUUUUUUUUCCCCCCAUUUGCAGGAAAUCAGCUGUUUCUUUUUCUGCAAAACACAGCCGCCCCUGAAUCCUGCAAAGGCUGCUUUGAUAGCACUUUUUUUUUGGAGGAGGAGGAAAAAACAAAAGUUAUGUUCGAAAGAAAGGAGAAAAGCGGGAGAAGGCAGAGGCACGAAAAGGAUUGAGCUGGAUCUGGGCGCAAUGGGAUUCAACGAAGUUCUCCUGGGAUGAGGUAGCCUCACCUUUGGACUGAGCAGUUGCAACAUCUAAGUAAAUAGGUAAAAUUUAUACCCAAUAAAUCAAUGUGUCAAGGGCCAGCAAGGAGAGGUCAAUUAACCAGAUGUAUGAGGCAAGAGGCAGCGACUAUCCAUUUCCGAAGAAGCUCCAAGGGUUAGUGUCUCUCCAGCACGCUGGAGGUCAGUUAACACUUUCCAGGCUUUCCCAGAUGAGAGCCAUUCCAGAGGGAAGAUGCAAAAUGAGCAAGUGCUGUGUAGCACAUCAAAAGGAUUGGGAAGCAUGGACAGAUGGAUUGAUGGAUGUGAUUAAUAAUCAAACCAAGAGCUUUUACUGGGAGUCAUGUGGAAAAUGUGGCUUUGGAAACAUCUGACUGGAGUCCAAACAAGCGGUGUUUUUCUUCCUUUCUUUUUUUUUUUGUCCCCAGCCCCCCCAUCCCCCUCCCCUGCUUUUCUUUCCUUGUCCAGAGUCACUAAUUAAAAUCUUUUAUUAUCUAUACCUGCUCCAAGUGGCAGCUCAAAGGGCUCCUGUUUUGCUGUGAUUUAUGUUUUGUGUAUCUCAGGCUUCAGCAGAAAAAUAAUUGACCAAAUAAUAAAAGGGCACUAAGUAGCUCUUCAUUAUAAAUGA